CAGCUUUGUUUUUAUUUUUUUAAAUUUUUUAUUUAGGAUAGUCACACAGAGAGAGAGAGAGAGGCAGACACACAGGCAGAAGGAGAAGCAGGCUCCAUGCACCGGGAGCCCGGCAAGGGAUUCGAUCCCGGGUCUCCAGGAUCGCGCCCUGGGCCAAAGGCAGGCGCCAAACCGCUGCGCCACCCAGGGAUCCCUGAGCUUUGUUUUUAAAAUGCAUAUGAUGACUACAAGAAAACAUCAAAAAAGGAGUGUCUCAGAAAACACUAGUGUUAAAAUCAACUGAAACCUGAUGGUUGGGGAAGUCGUUUGCUUGGAGCAGAGAAGCACAUCUGCCAGCUUCUUGACCAGGCUUCUCAAACCCGCAUCGGAGGAACCUAAUUCCUGAGCCACUGAGAAGUUCCGUGGUGCAACUUUGCUUGCUUUUUCGCAUCACUCAUGGCUAGCUUAGCAUUCAGCUUUCUUAGGUCUACAAAUGAGUUGUCGCUCGUAACUGCUUUCAGCUUCUAAACCUUUCCUGCUGUUGUUUUGGCUCCUAUCAUCCUUGUCCUUCUGGGUUUAUGCCUUUGUAUAUAACAGUCUUUACUGUUUUAGUGGGAUUUUGUAGUUUUUUCUUCCAAAAUUUAAAAAUUCUAGUUAGUUAACAUAUAGUGUAUUAGUUUCAGGAGUAAGAUUUAGUGAUUCAUCACUUAGACCUAAAACCCAGUGCUCAUCGUAACAAGUGCUCUCCUUAAUACCCAUCACUCAUUUAGCUCACUUCCCACCUAAGUCCCUCCACCAACCUGGUUUGUUCUUUAAGAGUCUCUUAUGGUUUGCUUUCCUCUCUCUUUUUCUUCUUAGUGGGAUU
rnacentral:lncRNA from 1 species